UAGAAGAAGAAUCCCACAUAGAUGAUGAAAGUGGGAAUCGAGGUACUAAAAGCAAAGUUAGGCAAAGUGAAUCCCACCAGCCACACUAAUUCUACUAAUUAGAUAAAGUGAAGAGAGAUGCCCGAUGGAGAAAAGGUGGCCUGCGUUACCAGAGCUUCCGGUUACAUAGUGUCUUGAAUGUCAAGCUUUUACUCCUCCGUGGCUACAACGUCAAUGCCACCAUUCAAGUCCCAAGUUUGGUCCUAUAUGAAAUUACGUACUAAGAAUGCAGAAACAUCAAAGAAAACAAAGGUGAGUAUAAUGGUUUAAAAGUAAGCUGUGGUUUUUGGUGUUUGGUGAUGUUUAUUAGCGUUUAGGUGUAGAUUAUUUAUAGGCUCAACAUUAGGUCGAUAUCCGUAGCUUAUCACGCAAAACAAAAAUCCUAAAUAGCAACUAAUUAAGGAUAAAAUCUUUCAAAUCUACAGUAAUAUGGAAUAUGCCAAGAAUAUGGUAAUUUAUGAGUCAUAAUUUUUUUUUAUCUUAAAUCGAUUUUGUAGAGAUAUUAGAGAUAUGAUGAGUGAUUAGUUACAAGAAUAAUAUAUACUGGAAUCUUGCUUUUGGAAAGAAAACGUAUAGAUUUUUAAACAAUGCAUCAUUAGUUUGUUUAUGAAAUUGUAUUGUUAGAGAUCUUGUUGAUUUGAAAUAUCCAAAAUGAUUUGUUGGUAGUAAUUAAAUUGAUUUGUAACAAAAAUCAAUUUUAAGGGAUUGUAAAUUAUAGAAAGUAUUCAACGACAAUUAAUGGAGAUAUUUGAGGGAAUGGUUGUUAUUUCCUAAAUCUUUUAGUUGAUAUUUAAAAAGUAA